ACCAAAAACACCCAAUAACCCUUACUUAGUACUAAGUAACUCUAUACUUUUAUAGAAAUUAUUAUGCUAAAACUAGUAACAUGAAGAAGCCCUUCUCCCAAAUGCACCUGUAAGCCAAAAAGAACAAUUCAUUGGCAUUUAACGCUAUUGACCCUAAAGCAAUAACUACACAAGAAAAUUUUGCUAACACCAACGUUAACCUAACACAAGAGCAUUCCGGGAAAGAUUAAAAGAAGUGGAAGGAACUCGGCAAAUUUUAACCCCGCCUGUUUACCAAAAACAUCGCCUCCUGCAGUAUAUAGGAGGUCCAGCCUGCCCAGUGACCAAGUUAAACGGCCGCGGUACCCUAACCGUGCGAAGGUAGCGCAAUCACUUGUUCUUUAAAUGAGGACUAGUAUGAAUGGCAUCACGAGGGUUACACUGUCUCCCACCUCUAAUCAGUGAAACUGAUCUCCCCGUGAAGAAGCGGGGAUAAAACUAUAAGACGAGAAGACCCCAUGGAGCUUCAAACCCGGCAUCAACCAUUAACAUUAAUACCACAUUAAAUAAAUGGACCUGACUGCUGGUUUUAGGUUGGGGUGACCGCGGAGCAUAACAAAACCUCCAUGAUGAACGACCUCCUCUCUAAUCCGAGAGCCACCACUCAAAGAAUCAAAAAAUUGACAUUUAUUGACCCAAACUAUUUUGAUCAACGAACCAAGUUACCCUGGGGAUAACAGCGCAAUCCAUUUCAAGAGCCCCUAUCGACAAAUGGGUUUACGACCUCGAUGUUGGAUCAGGGUAUCCUAGUGGUGCAGCCGCUACUAAAGGUUC
rnacentral:rRNA from 1 species